GUGGGGAAUAUUGGACAAUGGGCGAAAGCCUGAUCCAGCCAUGCCGCGUGUGUGAAGAAGGUCUUCGGAUUGUAAAGCACUUUAAGUUGGGAGGAAGGGCAGUAAGUUAAUACCUUGCUGUUUUGACGUUACCGACAGAAUAAGCACCGGCUAACUUCGUACCAGCAGCCGCGGUAAUACGAAGGGUGCAAGCGUUAAUCGGAAUUACUGGGCGUAAAGCGCGCGUAGGUGGUUUUGUAAGUUGGAGGUGAAAUCCCCGGGCUCAACCUGGGAACUGCCUCCAAAACUGCAUGACUAGAGUACGGUAGAGGGUAGUGGAAUUUCCUGUGUAGCGGUGAAAUGCGUAGAUAUAGGAAGGAACACCAGUGGCGAAGGCGACUACCUGGACUGAUACUGACACUGAGGUGCGAAAGCGUGGGGAGCAAACAGGAUUAGAUACCCGGGUAGUCC
rnacentral:rRNA from 1 species